GACAGAGGUUGCAAACGUUGUUCGGAAUCACUGGGCAUAAAGCGCACGUAGGCGGCUGACUAAGUCCGAUGUGAAAUCCCUCGGCUUAACCGGGGAACUGCGUCUGAUACUGGAUGGCUAGAGGUUGGGAGAGGGAUGCGGAAUUCCAGGUGUAGCGGUGAAAUGCGUAGAUAUCUGGAGGAACACCGGUGGCGAAGGCGGCAUCCUGGACCAAUUCUGACGCUGAGGAGCGAAAGCCAGGGGAGCAAACGGG
rnacentral:rRNA from 1 species